UUGCCCACUUGAGACUGUCUGUGUUUUGAGUGGCCAUUAUGGAAGGGUAAAGCAAUGUUCUCUCUAAAGACCUGGGUCAGGGGUUUAACCCCCUGCCUCUGGACUUGUUGGGAGAAACAUCU